CUCGGGAUCAUCUAGCGGAAGGAUGCCGGUCUACGAAACCGGAAACGAUGGUUCAAAUCCAUCUCCCGAGGCCA
rnacentral:tRNA from 1 species